rnacentral:sRNA from 1 species
UUUUUAAUUUAAUCUC